AACCUUUACACUGCACGCCAGUGCGAUAAGGGGACUCCAAGUGCGAGGGCAUAUAGUCCUCGCUUUUCUGGACCGUAAGGAGGUCCAGGAACAAGGGCUGGGCAAGACCGGUGCCAGCCGCCGCGGUAAUACCGGCAGCCCAAGUGAUGGCCGCUCUUAUUGGGCCUAAAGCGUCCGUAGCUGGCCAGGCAAGUCCGUCGGGAAAUCCGCGUGCCCAACACGCGGGCGUCCGGUGGAAACUGCCUGGCUUGGGACCGGAAGACCUGAGGGGUACGUCCGGGGUAGGAGUGAAAUCCCGUAAUCCUGGACGGACCACCGGUGGCGAAAGCGCCUCAGGAAGACGGAUCCGACGGUGAGGGACGAAAGCUCGGGUCACGAACCGGAUUAGAUACCCGGGUGGUCCGAGCUGUAAACGAUGCCUGCUAGGUGUGACACAGGCUACGAGCCUGUGUUGUGCCGUAGGGAAGCCGUGAAGCAGACCGCCUGGGAAGUACGUCCGCAAGGAUGAAACUUAA
rnacentral:rRNA from 1 species